rnacentral:lncRNA from 1 species
CGGAAGUCCAGAUCUUGAGCGCGUUGCUGGGAAUCCUGACUAGUUGACUGGAGUUGUUUUCUUUAGGAUUUCUGCAGGCUACAGGCUGCAGGAGAAGGACCAUGGGGAGACCCUCAAGCCACACAACGGAGACUUCUGAUUUGGAGCUGAUUGACUGAUAACAUACUGCCUUAGGAUAAUCUCACCUUCUCUAGACACAGAUUCUAAAUGAGUGUCUACGGAGAAACUCUUCAAGCAAAAGCUGAAAAGCAACUAGCU